UACGGAGGGUGCAAGCGUUGUUCGGAUUUAUUGGGCGUAAAGAGCGUGUAGGCGGCCAAGCAGGUCCGCUGUGAAAACUCGAGGCUCAACCUCGAGACGUCGGUGGAAACCGUUUGGCUAGAGUCCGGAAGAGGAGAGUGGAAUUCCCGGUGUAGCGGUGAAAUGCGCAGAUAUCGGGAAGAACACCCGUGGCGAAGGCGGCUCUCUGGGACGGUACUGACGCUGAGACGCGAAAGCGUGGGGAGCGAACAGG
rnacentral:rRNA from 1 species